rnacentral:rRNA from 1 species
UGGGGAAUAUUGCACAAUGGGCGAAAGCCUGAUGCAGCGACGCCGCGUGAGGGAUGACGGCCUUCGGGUUGUAAACCUCUUUCAGUAGGGACGAAGCGCAAGUGACGGUACCUGCAGAAGAAGCACCGGCUAACUACGUGCCAGCAGCCGCGGUAAUACGUAGGGCGCGAGCGUUGUCCGGAAUUACUGGGCGUAAAGAGCUCGUAGGCGGUUUGUCACGUCGUCUGUGAAAUCCUAGGGCUUAACCCUGGACGUGCAGGCGAUACGGGCUGACUUGAGUACUACAGGGGAGACUGGAAUUUCUGGUGUAGCGGUGGAAUGCACAGAUAUCAGGAAGAACACCGAUGGCGAAGGCAGGUCUCUGGGUAGUAACUGACGCUGAGGAGCGAAAGCAUGGGUAGCGAACAGG